GUAACGGCGAGUGAAGCGGUAACAGCUCAAAUUUGAAAUCUGGCUCCCUUAGCCGGGAGUCCGAGUUGUAAUUUGUAGAAGAUGCUUUGGGUUGUGGGCUUGGCCUAAGUUCCUUGGAACAGGACGUCGUAGAGGGUGAGAAUCCCGUAUGCGGCCGAGGCCUACGCCUGUGUAAAGCUCUUUCGACGAGUCGAGUUGUUUGGGAAUGCAGCUCAAAAUGGGUGGUAAAUUUCAUCUAAAGCUAAAUAUGGGCCAGAGACCGAUAGCGCACAAGUAGAGUGAUCGAAAGAUGAAAAGCACUUUGGAAAGAGAGUUAAACAGUACGUGAAAUUGUUGAAAGGGAAGCGCUUGCAACCAGACUUUGGGCACUGCUGAUCAGCCGGAGUUCUCUCCGAUGCACUCGACAGCGCACAGGCCAGCAUCGGUUUGGGUGGCUGGAUAAAGGCCGUAGGAACGUAGCUCCUUCCGGGGAGUGUUAUAGCCUAUGGUGCCAUGCAGCCCAUCCGGACCGAGGACCGCGCCUUCGGGCUAGGAUGCUGGCGUAAUGGUUGUAAGCGACCCGUCUUGAAACACGGACCAAGGAGUCUAACAUCUAUGCGAGUGUUUGGGCGUCAAACCCAUACGCGGAAUGAAAGUGAACGUAGGUGAGAACCCUUCGGGGUGCAUCAUCGACCGAUCCUGAUGUCUUCGGAUGGAUUUGAGUAAGAGCAUAGC
rnacentral:rRNA from 1 species